GACGAACGCUGGCGGCGUGCCUAAUACAUGCAAGUUGAGCGCUGAAGGUUGGUACUUGUACCAACUGGAUGAGCAGCGAACGGGUGAGUAACGCGUGGGGAAUCUGCCUUUGAGCGGGGGACAACAUUUGGAAACGAAUGCUAAUACCGCAUAAAAACUUUAAACACAAGUUUUAAGUUUGAAAGAUGCAAUUGCAUCACUCAAAGAUGAUCCCGCGUUGUAUUAGCUAGUUGGUGAGGUAAAGGCUCACCAAGGCGAUGAUACAUAGCCGACCUGAGAGGGUGAGCGGCCACAUUGGGACUGAGACACGGCCCAAACUCCUACGGGAGGCAGCAGUAGGGAAUCUUCGGCCAUGGACGAAAGUCUGACCGAGCAACGCCGCGUGAGUGAAGAAGGUUUUCGGAUCGUAAAACUCUGUUGGUAGAGAAGAACGUUGGUGAGAGUGGAAAGCUCAUCAAGUGACGGUAACUACCCAGAAAGGGACGGCUAACUACGUG
rnacentral:rRNA from 1 species